ACCAACCCGAUGCAAACUGCGAAUACCGGAGAAUGUUAUCACGGGAGACACACGGCGGGUGCUAACGUCCGUCGUGAAGAGGGAAACAACCCAGACCGCCAGCUAAGGUCCCAAAGUCAUGGUUAAGUGGGAAACGAUGUGGGAAGGCCCAGACAGCCAGGAUGUUGGCUUAGAAGCAGCCAUCAUUUAAAGAAAGCGUAAUAGCUCACUGGUCGAGUCGGCCUGCGCGGAAGAUGUAACGGGGCUAAACCAUGCACCGAAGCUGCGGCAGCGACACUGUGUGUUGUUGGGUAGGGGAGCGUUCUGUAAGCCUGUGAAGGUGUGUCGUGAGGC
rnacentral:rRNA from 1 species